GGAUGUGAGGGUAAUAUAGCUGUGACAUCUGUCACCUCAUUAUUCACUGGGGUUGUUUCAGCUGAUAUGGCUGGCUAGGUUAAUGUUCCUUUCCUCCCUCACUUCUCUAUGUGUAUGCCUCCCAAAGUUCUGUGUUUGGUCAAAGAGGAUGACCUUCCCACUAAAGCAUGACCUCUCUUUGAUACAAGUAGCUGAACUCUCCUGGUAUAAUCUCUAAACAAGCUNNNNNNNNN
rnacentral:sRNA from 1 species